rnacentral:rRNA from 1 species
UACAGAGGGUGCGAGCGUUGUUCGGAAUUAUUGGGCGUAAAGGGCGCGUAGGCGGUGCGGUAAGUCACCUGUGAAAUCUCCUGGCUCAACUGGGAGCUUGCAGGCGAAACUGCCGUGCUGGAGUGUGGGAGAGGUGCGUGGAAUUCCUGGUGUAGCGGUGAAAUGCGUAGAUAUCGGGAGGAACACCGGUGGCGAAGGCGGCGACCUGGGACAAUACUGACGCUGAGGUGCGAAAGCGUGGGGAGCAAACAGG